CAGGCCUAACACAUGCAAGUCGGACGGGAUUGAGCUUUCGGGCUCAUGAGAGUGGCGCACGGGUGCGUAACACGUAUGUAACCUACCUUUAUCAGGGGGAUAGCCUCUCGAAAGAGAGAUUAACACCGCAUAACAUGAUUGGAUAGCAUUAUCUGGUCAUCAAAUAUUUAUAGGAUAAAGAUGGGCAUGCGGGACAUUAGCUAGUUGGCGGGGUAACGGCCCACCAAGGCGACGAUGUCUAGGGGAUCUGAGAGGAUGGCCCCCCACACUGGUACUGAGACACGGACCAGACCCCUACGGGAGGCAGCAGUAAGGAAUAUUGGUCAAUGGGCGCAAGCCUGAACCAGCCAUGCCGCGUGCAGGAAGACGGCCCUACGGGUUGUAAACUGCUUUUGUACCGGAAUAAACCCUUUUACGUGUAAGAGGCUGAAUGUACGGUAAGAAUAAGGAUCGGCUAACUCCGUGCCAGCAGCCGCGGUAAU
rnacentral:rRNA from 1 species